rnacentral:rRNA from 1 species
GACGAACCGUGCGAACGUUAUUCGGAAUCACUGGGCUUAAAGCGCGUGUAGGCGGGCCGGCACGUCGGUCGCUGAAAUCCCACGGCUCAACCGUGGAACGGCCCCGGGUACGGGCGGCCUCGAGGGGGGUAGGGGCGUGCGGAACUGUGGGUGGAGCGGUGAAAUGCGUUGAUAUCCACAGGAACUCCGGUGGCGAAAGCGACGUGCUGGACCUCUUCUGACGCUGAGGCGCGAAAGCCAGGGGAGCAAACGGG